AGUGAACGCUGGCGGUAGGCCUAACACAUGCAAGUCGAACGGCAGCACAGUAAGAGCUUGCUCCUACUGGUGGCGAGUGGCGGACGGGUGAGGAAUACAUCGGAAUCUACUUUUUCGUGGGGGAUAACGUAUGGAAACUUCCGCUAAUACCUCAUACUACCUACGGGUGAAAGCAGGGGAUCUUCUGACCUUGCGCGAUUGAAUGAGCCGAUGUCGGGUUAGCUAGUUGGUGGGGUAAAGGCCCACCAAGGCGACGAUCCGUAGCUGGUCUGAGAGGAUGAUCAGCCACACUGGAACUGAGACACGGUCCAGACUCCUACGGGAGGCAGCAGUGGGGAAUAUUGGACAAUGGGCGCAAGCCUGAUCCAGCAAUACCGCGUGGGUGAAGAAGGCCUUCGGGUUGUAAAGCCCUUCUGUUGGGAAAGAAAAGCAGCAGGUUAAUACCCGGCUGUUCUGACGGUACCCAAAGAAUAAGCACCGGCUAACUUCGUG
rnacentral:rRNA from 1 species